GCAAGUCGAGCGGUAACAUUUCUAGCUUGCUAGAAGAUGACGAGCGGCGGACGGGUGAGUAAUGCUUGGGAACAUGCCUUGAGGUGGGGGACAACAGUUGGAAACGACUGCUAAUACCGCAUAAUGUCUACGGACCAAAGGGGGGGAUCUUCGGACCUCCCGCCAUUUGAUUAGCCCAAGUGAGAUUAGCUAGUUGGUGAGGUAAUGGCUCACCAAGGCGACGAUCCCUAGCUGGUCUGAGAGGAUGAUC
rnacentral:rRNA from 1 species